GACGAACGCUGGCGGCGUGCCUAAUACAUGCAAGUAGGACGCAGUUGCGAACGGGAGAGUAACGCGUAGGUCACUACGUAUUAGAGGGGGGUAACUAAUGGCUACGAUAGCUAAUACCGCAUACUUGAAGGUGGACCUGCGUUGUAUUAGCUAGUAGGUAGGGUAAGGGCCUACCUAGGCAAAGAGACAUAGCCGACCUGAGAGGGUGAUCGGCCACACUGGGACUGAGACACGGCCCAGACUCCUACGGGAGGCAGCAGUAGGGAAUCUUCGGCAAUGGGGGGAAGCCUGACGGAGCAACGCCGCGUGAGUGAAGAAGGCUUUCGGAUCGUAAAGCUCUGUUGUUAGGGAAGCGGUACUUAACCAGAAAGCGACGGCUAACUACGUGCCAGCAGCCGCGGUAAUAC
rnacentral:rRNA from 1 species